rnacentral:rRNA from 1 species
GACGAACGCUGGCGGCGUGCCUAAUACAUGCAGGUUGAGCGCUGAAGGUUGGUACUUGUACCAACUGGAUGAGCAGCGAACGGGUGAGUAACGCGUGGGGAAUCUGCCUUUGAGCGGGGGACAACAUUUGGAAACGAAUGCUAAUACCGCAUAAAAACUUUAAACACAAGUUUUAAGUUUGAAAGAUGCAAUUGCAUCACUCAAAGAUGAUCCCGCGUUGUAUUAGCUAGUUGGUGAGGUAAAGGCUCACCAAGGCGAUGAUACAUAGCCGACCUGAGAGGGUGAUCGGCCACAUUGGGACUGAGACACGGCCCAAACUCCUACGGGAGGCAGCAGUAGGGAAUCUUCGGCAAUGGACGAAAGUCUGACCGAGCAACGCCGCGGGAGUGAAGAAGGUUUUCGGAUCGUAAAACUCUGUUGGUAGAGAAGAACGUUGGUGAGAGUGGAAAGCUCAUCAAGUGACGGUAACUACCCAGAAAGGGACGGCUAACUACGUG